rnacentral:tRNA from 1 species
UCCCCAUUAGCUCAAUGGCAGAGCAUUCGACUGUUAAUCGAAGGGUUACUGGUUCGAGUCCAGUAUGGGGAG